CGCAUCUGUGCAUGCAGCAUAUCAAUAAGCGGAGGAAAAGAAACUAACAAGGAUUCCCUUAGUAACGGCGAGUGAAGCGGGAAGAGCUCAAAUUUGAAAUCUUCAAGGUUUACCUUGACGAAUUGUAGUUUAAAGAAGUGUUUUCUGUUGAAGUUUUGGUAAAAGUUCUUUGGAAUAGGACAUCAUAGAGGGUGAGAAUCCCGUAUUUGACCAUUAUUUUCAGCUGUGUGAUACACUUUCAAAGAGUCGGAUUGUUUGGGAAUGCAGUCCAAAAUGGGUGGUAAAUUUCAUCUAAAGCUAAAUAUUGGCGAGAGACCGAUAGCGAACCAGUACCGUGAGGGAAAGAUGAAAAGAACUUUGAAAAGAGAGUUAAACAGUACGUGAAAUUGUCAAAAGGGAAGCGUUUGACACCAGUGUUGUUUUCUCGAAAAUCAAUUAAAAAGAGUUAGAUUUUGUUGUGUAUUGACCUUAACAGCUUGCAUUUCAAUUUUCUUGCUUUUUUUAAUGCACUUUUCGUUUAACAAGUCAACAUCAGUUUCUUUUGUUGUAAAAAGGUCAUUGGAAGGUGGCUUUCUUUUCGGAGAAAGUAUUUAUAGCCUUUGACUCCUGCAAUCGGAGAGACUGAGGUCCGCAGCGUAGAUCCUUCGGGGUUAGAUACAUUUGUGCUAAGUUAUAGCUUUUUAUAGACAACUUGUUGACUAUGAUUAGUCUUGUAGCUUACUCGCUUAUGCUAUUUUACCUACGCUUAGGAUGUUGAUCUGUAGUGCGUGCGC
rnacentral:rRNA from 1 species